rnacentral:rRNA from 1 species
AGAUUCCCCCAGUAGCGGCGAGCGAACGGGGAGCAGCCCAGAGUCUGAAUCAGCUUGUGUGUUAGUGGAACGGUCUGGAAAGUCCGACGGUACAGGGUGAUAGUCCCGUACACCAAAAUGCACAGGUUGUGAACUCGAAGAGUAGGGCGGGACACGUGAUAUCCUGUCUGAAUAUGGGGGGACCAUCCUCCAAGGCUAAAUACUCCUGACUGACCGAUAGUGAACCAGUACCGUGAGGGAAAGGCGAAAAGAACCCCGGCGAGGGGAGUGAAAAAGAACCUGAAACCGUGUACGUACAAGCAGUGGGAGCACCUUCGGGUGUGACUGCGUACCUUUUGUAUAAUGGGUCAGCGACUUAUAUUCUGUAGCAAGGUUAACCGUAUAGGGGAGCCGCAGGGAAACCGAGUCUUAACUGGGCGUUAAGUUGCAGGGUAUAGACCCGAAACCCGGUGAUCUAGCCAUGGGCAGGUUGAAGGUUGGGUAACACUAACUGGAGGACCGAACCGACUAAUGUUGAAAAAUUAGCGGAUGACUUGUGGCUGGGGGUGAAAGGCCAAUCAAACCGGGAGAUAGCUGGUUCUCCCCGAAAGCU